rnacentral:rRNA from 1 species
CCUACGGGAGGCAGCAGUAGGGAAUAUUGCUCAAUGGGGGAAACCCUGAAGCAGCAACGCAGCGUGGAGGAUGAAGGUUUUCGGAUUGUAAACUCCUUUUGUUAUAGAAGAUAAUGACGGUAUGUAAAGAAUAAGCCACGGCUAACUCCGUGCCAGGAGCCGCGGUAAUACGGAGGGUGCAAGCGUUACUCGGAAUCACUGGGCGUAAAGAGCGCGUAGGCGGGAUAGCAAGUCAGAUGUGAAAUCUUAUGGCUUAACCAUAGAACUGCAUUUGAAACUGUUAUUCUAGAGUACGGGAGAGGUAGGCGGAAUUCUUGGUGUAGGGGUAAAAUGCGUAGAGAUCACGAGGAAUACUCAUUGCGAAGGCGACCUGCUAGAACAUAACUGACGCUGAUGCGCGAAAGCGUGGGUAGCAAACAGGAUUAGAUACCCCAGUAGUC